CCUGGACCCCCAGCCGCGAGCAGACGGCCGGCCGCGGCCUCGCCCGCUCCCCGGUGGGGUGGCCCUGGCCCUGGGCCCUGCACCCACCGCGAAAGCUUCGGCCUCCCGAGGUGCCCCUUGUGACCUGCCAUGUCGCUGCGGACGACAACACUUGUGAAGUUUCCACUUGUGAGGGGUCUGGCCUUUGGUCGGUCACCGUAGAUUGGUGUUUAAACUGGUUUUGCCCGGCAUCCUGCAGAAACAUUGCUGUAUCUUACCAGACAGGAAUACAGACCUUAUUCUCGGAAGCGUUUUGUUAAUUCAAAGAAGACACAUUUCAACUGUCACUUCAGCCGAAACAUCGCGGUUUGAGAUUUCACCUUCUUGUCUGUUAAAGAACGUUUGGUGCCUCGUUGUGUGUGAUUUCCUUUCCAAACCUGAAAUCCAGUGACAGCGUCAAGCUGACGCGGCUGUCUGGGAGGACGGUCGGAAGGCAGGCCCGUGCGCCUGGGGCGGAGACGACGCGUCUGCGGGUGACGGCCACCGGCCCCCGUCUGCUGCCCUCCAGGCUGAACAGCGAGCACGAAGCGCUCCUCACACCUGAGGAACACCGCGGAUGCACCGCCGGCUCCUGCCCGGAUCACAGCUCGCUGCUGGAGUUCAGGAACCCGCCCCUCCUGUCCUGGGACGUUGCACCAGGUGACACGCACCCAGACCAGCGCGUCUCCACUGCAGAGUCACCGCCCCAGGACGGUUCGGCCGCACCCUGCUGGAGGAGAGAAUUCUGGGUGUCGAGUGUGGUGCCUGCCCUCCAUACAGGCUUCCGGACGGCCUGGCCAUCGUCAUCUGCGGCGGAGGCCACGUCCCAGUUUGCAGGUCACUCACGGAAGCCAGUUCGUCACCUCACUCAGCUCCACAUCUGCAAACUGAAAACAGUUCACAACGAUAGCAGAAGAACUCAGGAUGUUCUGUCGCUGUUUAGAUAUUCUGUUGUUUUGUAUCAAAAUAUUGAACACUGAAAUUAAACCUUUAUAAAACA